AUUGAACGCUGGCGGCAGGCUUAACACAUGCAAGUCGAGCGGGGUGAUGGUGCUUGCACUAUCACUUAGCGGCGGACGGGUGAGUAAUGCUUAGGAAUCUGCCUAUUAGUGGGGGACAACAUCUCGAAAGGGAUGCUAAUACCGCAUACGUCCUACGGGAGAAAGCAGGGGAUCACUUGUGACCUUGCGCUAAUAGAUGAGCCUAAGUCGGAUUAGCUAGUUGGUGGGGUAAAGGUCUACCAAGGCGACGAUCUGUAGCGGGUCUGAGAGGAUGAUCCGCCACACUGGGACUGAGACACGGCCCAGACUCCUACGGGAGGCAGCAGUGGGGAAUAUUGGACAAUGGGGUGAACCCUGAUCCAGCCAUGCCGCGUGUGUGAAGAAGGCCUUAUGGUUGUAAAGCACUUUAAGCGAGGAGGAGGCUCUUUUGGUUAAUACCCAAGAUGAGUGGACGUUACUCGCAGAAUAAGCACCGGCUAACUCUGUGCCAGCCGCCGCAGUAA
rnacentral:rRNA from 1 species